rnacentral:rRNA from 1 species
CCUACGUGCGGCUGCAGUGAGGAAUAUUGGGCAAUGGGCGCAAGCCUGAACCAGCAAAGUCGCGUGAGGGAUGACGGUCCUAUGGAUUUUAAACCUCUUUUGUCGGGGAGCAAGGCCCGCCACGUGUGGCGGGAAGGAGAGUACCCGAAGAAAAAGCAUCGGCUAACUCCGUGCCAGCAGCCGCGGUAAUUCGGAGGAUGCGAGGGGUAUCCGGAUUUAUUGGGUUAAAAGGGUGCGAAGGCGGAAAGUUAAGUCAGCGGUCAAAGGUUGGUUCUGAACACCGGACUGCAGUGGACACUGGUCGUCUUGAGUGAGCGAGAAGUAUGCGGAAUGCGUGGUGUAGCGGUGAAAUGCAUAGAGAUCACGCAGAACUCCGAUUGCGAAGGCAGCAUACCGGCGCUCAACUGACGCUGAGGCACGAAAGCGUGGGGAUCGAACAGGAUUAGAUACCCGUGUAGUC